UUUGAGUGUAUAUAAAUAUAUAAUAAUUUUACAAUGAAAAAUAAGUCAAGUUAAGUUGAGUAGAAAUUUCUGCUCGUAUUUGAGAAGAAGGAUUUUUUCUUGCUCUUAUCUCUUAUCUCUUAGGUGGAUUUUCUGCGAGAGAAGAAUGUUGUUCAACCAUUGCAUUGGUAGAUUCCAUAUAAUGGUGAAUAUGCUCGAGUUCGAUGUGAUGGAUUCUACGGUGAGUCGAGUGUUUAUUGAGUUGUGUUUGUUCUAUCUCCG
rnacentral:lncRNA from 1 species